GCCGCAAUAGCUCAGCUGGGAGAGCGUAAGACUGAAGAUCUUAAGGUCCGGCGUUCGAUCCGCCGUUGCGGCA
rfam:Klebsormidium nitens DNA, contig: KFL_349.